rnacentral:rRNA from 1 species
GAUGAACGCUAGCUACAGGCUUAACACAUGCAAGUCGCGGGGCAGCAUGGGGGUUGCUUGCAAUCCCCGAUGGCGACCGGCGCACGGGUGAGUAACGCGUAUCCAACCUGCCCUUCACCACGGGAUAACCCGGCGAAAGUCGGACUAAUACCGUAUGUUGUCCAUUGACGGCAUCCGAUUUGGACGAAAGGCUUGGCGGUGAGGGAUGGGGAUGCGUCCGAUUAGCCAGACGGCGGGGUAACGGCCCACCGUGGCUACGAUCGGUAGGGGUUCUGAGAGGAAGGACCCCCACACUGGAACUGAGACACGGUCCAGACUCCUACGGGAGGCAGCAGUGAGGAAUAUUGGUCAAUGGGCGUAAGCCUGAACCAGCCAAGUAGCGUGCAGGUUGACGGCCCUAUGGGUUGUAAACUGCUUUUAUGCGGGGAUAAAGUGGCCCACGUGUGGGCUUUUGCAGGUACCGCAUGAAUAAGGACCGGCUAAUUCCGUG